rnacentral:rRNA from 1 species
AGAGUUUGAUCCUGGCUCAGGAUGAACGCUAGCGACAGGCUUAACACAUGCAAGUCGAGGGGCAGCAUAAAAGUAGCAAUACUUUGGUGGCGACCGGCGCACGGGUGAGUAACGCGUAUGCAACCUACCUAUCAGAGGGGAAUAACCCGGCGAAAGUCGGACUAAUACCGCAUAAAACAGGGGCACCGCAUGGUGAUAUUUGUUAAAGAAAUUCGCUGAUAGAUGGGCAUGCGUUCCAUUAGGUAGUUGGUGAGGUAACGGCUCACCAAGCCGACGAUGGAUAGGGGAACUGAGAGGUUGGUCCCCCACACUGGUACUGAGACACGGACCAGACUCCUACGGGAGGCAGCAGUGAGGAAUAUUGGUCAAUGGGCGAGAGCCUGAACCAGCCAAGUCGCGUGAAGGAAGAAGGAUCUAUGGUUCGUAAACUUCUUUUGCAGGGGAAUAAAGUGCGGGACGUGUCCUGUUUUGUAUGUACCCUGAGAAUAAGGAUCGGCUAACUCCGUGCCAGCAGCCGCGGUAAUACGGAGGAUCCGAGCGUUAUCCGGAUUUAUUGGGUUUAAAGGGUGCGUAGGUGGUUUGAUAAGUCAGCGGUGAAAGUUUGCAGCUUAACUGUAAAAAUGCCGUUGAAACUGUCGGACUUGAGUGUAAAUGAGGUAGGCGGAAUGCGUGGUGUAGCGGUGAAAUGCAUAGAUAUCACGCAGAACUCCGAUUGCGAAGGCAGCUUACUAAGCUACAACUGACACUGAAGCACGAAAGCGUGGGGAUCAAACAGGAUUAGAUACCCUGGUAGUCG